CAGCUUCUCUUGCCCCGAAUCAGGAGUCCGUCGUUGGGCGCGUCCGGAUCACCUGGCCAGGCCUGCACCAUUCUCCAGGGCUGGGGCUUUGGAACCAGUGGCGGAUUACAUUUCCCAAAGCCAGACACAUCAAUGGAUCCCUUCCCCAAAAGCUCUUCUUGACAGUGCUACGUCAUGCUCCUCCUAUCCGGACGUGGGUCUGGUCUCCUUCCCUUGAGCCUGGGGCAGACCGAAGACUGCCUCAGCCAACACAGAAAGUGACCCCGUGAUUUCUGAAGCCUUGUCCAGCAAAUUUCAGAUUGUAUCCAGUCUGGGACCUAAUGAACCGCCAAUGAAGAUGUGAAGUAUUUCCCAUCACCCCAGAAACUUCUUUCAUGUCCCAAUGCCUGGAAAGUUCGAGAAAUAAAUA